rnacentral:rRNA from 1 species
ACUCCUACGGGAGGCAGCAGUGGGGAAUCUUGGACAAUGGGCGCAAGCCUGAUCCAGCCAUGCCGCGUGAGUGAUGAAGGCCCUAGGGUCGUAAAGCUCUUUCGCCUGUGAUGAUAAUGACAGUAGCAGGUAAAGAAACCCCGGCUAACUCCGUGCCAGCAGCCGCGGUAAUACGGAGGGGGUUAGCGUCGUUCGGAAUUACUGGGGCGUAAAGCGCGCGUAGGCGGACUAUUAAGUCAGAGGUGAAAUCCCGGGGCUCAACCCCGGAACUGCCUUUGAUACUGGUAGUCUAGAGUUCGAGAGAGGUGAGUGGAAUUCCGAGUGUAGAGGUGAAAUUCGUAGAUAUUCGGAGGAACACCAGUGGCGAAGGCGGCUCACUGGCUCGAUACUGACGCUGAGGUGCGAAAGUGUGGGGAGCAAACAGGAUUAGAUACCCUGGUAGCGACUGA